UCCCUACGGGACGCAGCAGUGAGGAAUAUUGGUCAAUGGGCGAGAGCCUGAACCAGCCAAGUCGCGUGAGGGAAGACGGUCCUAUGGAUUGUAAACCUCUUUUGCCGGGGAGCAAAAAGCGGUACGUGUACCGCAUCGAGAGUACCCGGAGAAAAAGCAUCGGCUAACUCCGUGCCAGCAGCCGCGGUAAUACGGAGGAUGCGAGCGUUAUCCGGAUUUAUUGGGUUUAAAGGGUGCGUAGGCGGGAUGCCAAGUCAGCGGUCAAAUACGGGGGCUCAACCUGCGUCCGCCGUUGAAACUGGCGU
rnacentral:rRNA from 1 species